rnacentral:rRNA from 1 species
GGUCAGUCAGAUUAGCCAUGCAUGUCUAAGUAUAAACACGUUAUACUGUGAAACUGCGAAUGGCUCAUUAAAUCAGUUAUAGUUUAUUUGAUGGUUUUUGCUACAUGGAUAACUGUGGUAAUUCUAGAGCUAAUACAUGCGUACAAGCCCCGACUUCUGGAAGGGGUGUAUUUAUUAGAUAAAAAUCAACACUGUUGGUGAAUCAUGAUAACUUCUCGGAUCGCAUGGCCUCGUGCUGGCGAUACUUCAUUCAAAUAUCUGCCCUAUCAACUGUCGAUGGUAGGAUAGAGGCCUACCAUGGUUGCAACGGGUAACGGGGAAUAAGGGUUCGAUUCCGGAGAGGGAGCCUGAGAAACGGCUACCACAUCCAAGGAAGGCAGCAGGCGCGCAAACUACCCAAUCCCGACACGGGGAGGUAGUGACAAUAUGUAACAAUAUACGGCUUUAUCGUCGUAUAAUUGGAAUGAGUACAAUUUAAAUCCCUUAACGAGGAACAAUUGGAGGGCAAGUCUGGUGCCAGCAGCCGCGGUAAUUCCAGCUCCAAUAGCGUAUAUUAAAGUUGUUGCAGUUAAAAAGCUCGUAGUUGGACCUUGGGCCUGGACGGGCGGUCCGCCUCACGGCGUGUACUGUCUUGCCGGGCCUUUCCUCUUGGUGAUCUGUUGUUUCGGCAGCAGGGAACCAGGACCUUUACUUUGAAAAAAUUAGAGUGUUCAAAGCAGGCUCGACGCCCGGAAUAUAUUAACAAGGAAUAAUUAAAAUACGACGUGCCGGUUCUAUUUUGUUGGGUUUUGGAAUCCACGUGA